UGCCUAAAGAGGUUAGGGUUUAGAGGGU
rnacentral:piRNA from 1 species